rnacentral:rRNA from 1 species
ACUCAAAUGAAUUGACGGGGACCCGCACAAGCGGUGGAGCAUGUUCUUUAAUUCGAUGGUAAACGAAGAACCUUACCAGGGUUUGACAUCCUUGGAAUUUCGGUGAAAGCCGAGAGUGCCCUUGGGAGCCAAGUGACAGGUGUUGCAUGGCCGUCGUCAGCUCGUGUCGUGAGAUGUUUGGUUAAGUCCAUCAACGAGCGCAACCCUUAUACUUAGUUGGAUUUUUCUAGGUAGACUGCCCCGGCAACGGGGAGGAAGGAGGGGAUGAUGUCAGGUCAGUAUUACCCUUACACCCUGGGCUAGAAACGUGCUACAAUGGCCAGUACAACGGGCAGCCAACCCGCGAGGGGGAGCAAAUCCCAUCAAAACUGGUCCCAGUUCGGAUUGCAGGCUGAAACUCGCCUGCAUGAAGUCGGAAUCGCUAGUAAUCGCAGGUCAGCAAACUGCGGUGAAUACGUUCCCGGGUCUUGUACACACCGCCCGU